rnacentral:tRNA from 1 species
CUCUGGGUGGUGUGAAGGGUUAAUACACUUGGCUGCUAACUAAAAAGUUUGAUGUUCAAGUCCACCCAGAGA